AAUAGCCCAUCGCCGAACGGCAGGCCCUCUUGGUCUCGCUGAAUGUGGCGUUUGGGAGAGUCUUAUCGCGGUGUGGACGGCCAGUCAAAGUCCAACUUGACAGUGGCCAUGGCCCGUAGAGGGUGAUAGGCCCGUAAGACGGCUGUCCCACUGCGCUGACUUUUCCCUAGAGUCGGAUUGCUUGGGAGUGCAGUCCAAAGUGCGAGGUAAACUCCUCGUAAGGCUAAAUAUGACCCCGAGUCCGAUAGCAAACAAGUACCGUGAGGGAAAAUUGAAAAGAACUUUGAAGAGAGAGUUCAAGAGUACGUGAAACCGUCUAGCGGUAAAGAGAGGGGUUCUCGAAGUUUCUGAGGGGGACUCAACCUUGGUGGUGCUUGGCCUGGGCGUAUUUGAUCAGCAAUGACUUUGCGUUUAGUCCCAUGUGCCUCCCGGACGCACUUUCUCCUCAGUUUACGGCAGGAACCGUUAGAUGUGGACUGAAGGCCCAGGGUGAAGUUGUUGGUUAUGCUGGCAGCCCUUGGUGUCCUAGCUUCGCGUCUGACGGGUAUGUAAGUGAACUCGUAUAGCGAGCAAUUCUCUAUUGCGGUUCGCAUUUCUCUG
rnacentral:rRNA from 1 species